UUAGCUGUGGCGCGCGGGGCUCAGUCCGGCCUGGCCUCCCCGCCGGAGGCCCGAGCUCCCUCUUCAGCUAGGUCCUAUUGGUCUUCCUGGGCGGGUCAGCAUUCAGUCUUCGCCCACCUUAGAUCCCUCCACUGCGCUGUAAAACUGCCUUGGAGUGCGGAUCUGUGAUGCUCCUGGGCCAGGCCUAGAGUGGGCACAGCCUCUGUGGGAGAUGUAGACAGGAUCAAAGAGUAUACCUUUUACGGCUGUUCCUCACAGCUCCUUUUAUUCUCCCUCAAGUCCUGACCCUUUACUGGGCCCAUCCAACCCGCCAUCACCUCUUCCCAAACCCUGGAGGCUGCAGGUUAUCUGGGAACAAAGCAGGACAAGUCUGGGCACCUGAAGGAUCUACUGCUUUCAAGUGUCUGCUUUCAGCAAGGUUAUGUGCUGCUCUCCUGAGCAACAUCUCUGACUGUGAUGAAACAUUCAACUACUGGGAGCCAGUAGACACACUACCUCAUCUAUGGGGAAGGGUUUCAGACUUGGGAAUAUUCCCCAGCAUAUGCCAUUCGCUCCUAUGCUUACCUGUUGCUUCAUGCCUGGCCAGCUG
rnacentral:sRNA from 1 species